AACUUUUGCUGGCCUGAGAGGUGUCGCGUGUAACUGUCAAAAAUGACUGGUUUAUGGUAAGUUUGGAGUCGUCCAUGGCCGGAAGUCGUCGCCUGAACCGGCGCCCAUUUGCCCCUCGAAACAAUACAAGUGACCAUCAGAGGGCCCUUGCAGAAUUUAUCGCUUCCUUGCGUGUCAAAACAACAAAAAUAGUCAUCUCGCUUUAAAGCAUCAUCGCUAAAUGAAACGUUGUUGCCUAUUCUCCAGUCCCAUCAUCAUUAACAUUAUAUUGAGCAACAAAAAGCGAAAUAAGAUUAAUGGAGGUAGAGUUUUUAUUGUGCCGUUUAUAUCAGAAACGUAAUGUUUUUAAUAUCUAAAUCGAUUGAACGCUAAUGGCAGGAAGAAAGAAAAAGCGGUACUUUAACUUCAGUUUUGUGUGGAUUUGUGAUUAACAAGCUUUGGAUAAUUGGCCACACUGACUACCGGAAGAAAAAUUUCAAUUAACACGCUGUUUGGAGGAAUUAUUAAUUGCGCUACAAACAUUCCGAAUAUUUAACAAUUUGUUAGUGGGCACACAACUCCACCUAGAUCACCAAUUCGAGCGGAAACUGAAAACUCAAACACUAGCAGAAUUUUUACGUUGCAGCAAUAAAACAAUAUCAAUAAAGCGAAUAUUUAUGUUAACAGUAAGCCCAUUUGACGUAAAAUUAUCCAAGAAUUCCAAACCUGUCUCCAUUUUUGUCCUUCGAUGCCUAGCUUUGGAGAUAUUGGACAAAAUAUGAAUAAAAAGCCCAUUUUACUAGUUAAA